GACGAACGCUGGCGGCGUGCCUAAUACAUGCAAGUAGAACGCUGAAGGAGGAGCUUGCUCUUCUGGAUGAGUUGCGAACGGGUGAGUAACGCGUAGGUAACCUGCCUGGUAGCGGGGGAUAACUCUUGGAAACGAUAGCUAAUACCGCAUAACAGUAGAUGUUGCAUGACAUUUACUUAAAAGGUGCAAUUUCAUCACUACCAGAUGGACCUGCGUUGUAUUAGCUAGUUGGUGGGGUAACGGCUCACCAAGGCGACGAUACAUAGGCGACCUGGGAAGGUGGACGGCCAAACUGGGAAUGAGACACGGGCCAAGCUCCCAAGGGGAGGAGGAGUAGGGAAUCUUCGGCAAUGGGCGGAAGUCUGGACGAGGCAAGGCGGGGGAGUGAAGGAGGUUCUCGGAGCGGAAAGCUCUGUUGUUAGAGAAGAAAGAGUGUGAGGCUGGAAAGUUCACACUGUGACGGUAUCUUACCAGAAAGCAACGGCUAACUACGUG
rnacentral:rRNA from 1 species